rnacentral:rRNA from 1 species
UACAGAGGUCUCAAGCGUUGUUCGGAUUCAUUGGGCGUAAAGGGUGCGUAGGCGGCGCGGUAAGUCGGGGUGUGAAAUCUCGGAGCUUAACUCCGAAACUGCAUUCGAUACUGCCGUGCUUUGAGGACUGGAGAGGAGACUGGAAUUUACGGUGUAGCGGUGAAAUGCGUAGAUAUGCGGAGGAACACCGAUGGCGAAGGCAGUCCCCCUGGGCCUGUACUGACGC